rnacentral:ncRNA from 1 species
AUCAGACAAAGGCAAACUUGCUGAAAGGCAAGGACGCAAAGUCACAGAUCUAAGGUUCACAAAAACUAUGAUGGCUGGACUGCCUGA